AACGAACGCUGGCGGCAUGCCUAACACAUGCAAGUCGAACGGGAUCCAGGCUUCGGUCUGGUGAGAGUGGCGGACGGGUGAGUAACGCGUGGGAACCUGCCCAAUGGUCUGGGAUAACCGCGGGAAACUGCGGCUAAUACCGGGUAAGCCCGAGAGGGGAAAGAUUUAUCGCCGAUGGAGGGGACCGCGUCCGAUUAGGUAGUUGGUGAGGUAACGGCUCACCAAGCCGACGAUCGGUAGCUGGUCUGAGAGGAUGAUCAGCCACACUGGGACUGAGAUACGGCCCAGACUCCUACGGGAGGCAGCAGUGGGGAAUAUUGGACAAUGGGGGCAACCCUGAUCCAGCAAUGCCGCGUGAGUGAUGAAGGCCUUAGGGUUGUAAAGCUCCUUCGCCGAGGACGAUAAUGACGGUACUCGGAUAAGAAGCCCCGGCUAACUUCGUGCCAGCCGCCGCAGUAA
rnacentral:rRNA from 1 species